rnacentral:piRNA from 1 species
AGGUAGGUUUUAUAGUUCAGAAAGCGGCC